CUGUUCCCAGGUUACAUCAUCGGCCUGCUGUGUUUUCUGUCUGUUCCAGGCUACGGCACUCGGCCUCGCCAGAACUCCCACCUGACCUCUAAUAUCUCAGAGCUGGUGAGCCAGUACAAGUCUGACGGCUUCAUAGACCUGCUACAUGAUAAGUGGUACAAGGUGGUGCCCUGUGGGAAACGGAGCUUCGCACGUCACAGAGACCCUACAGAUGGGCAUUAAGCAUUUCUCAGGCCUGUUUUUGAUGCUGUGUGUCGGAUUGGGUCUGUCUCUCCUCACCACCCUGGCUGAACACAUAAUCUACCGCUUUGUCAUACCCAGAGUCAAGAGCCCAAGUUCAAGUACUGGCUGCAUACUAGUCAGAGGUUACAUCGAGCAAUGAACUCAUCUUUCAAUGACGAUAAACUGCAGACUGUAGCCAAGACAGAAGAAAGGUGCAUCAUGGGUAACAACAAACAACUGCAGCCAUGUGUACCAUGGAACAGCUCCAACUGCAACAGGAGGAAGAUCCCACCUCAGGAAUCCCUGCUAAAUGUUCUGGAGUCUCCCCCCUGUGAUUGCUCUCCUCCUCCUCCCUCAGCCCCUCCACCUCCUUCCUCUCCUCCUUCUCCUCAGGUGAAGAGCCUGGUCCCCCGGCAGGCAACAUCUAACGGGAGGACAGACCAGGUGGGUCUGCAGGCCAGGACCAACCCCAUGCUGCAGGAGCUGUCAGAGCUGGAGACACACAUCACCAUCAUCAAACAACAGCUGCACAUCGCCAUGAUGAAGAAGAGGGAGCUGGAGCAACCAGGAGAAACACAUGACAGAGUAGAGACUGAUACCAGCAGAAACACAACAUGACAGAGUAGAGACUGAUACCAGCAGAAACACAACAUGACAGAGUAGAGACUGAUACCAGCAGAAACACAACAUGACAGAGUAGAGACUGGUACCAACAGAAACACAACAUGACAGAGUAGAGACUGAUACCAGCAGAAACACAACAUGACAGAGUAGAGGAUUGGUACCAGCAGAAACACAACAUGACAGAGUAAGAGGACUGAUACCAGCAGAAACACACCAUGACAGAGUAGAGAACUGUACCAGCAGAAACACAAACAUGACAGAUUAGAGACUGAACCAGCAAAAAAAAAAAAG
rnacentral:lncRNA from 1 species